rnacentral:rRNA from 1 species
UACGGAGGGGGCUAGCGUUGUUCGGAAUUACUGGGCGUAAAGCGCACGUAGGCGGCUUUUGUAAGUUAGAGGUGAAAGCCCAGGGCUCAACCCUGGAAUUGCCUUUAAGACUGCAUCGCUAGAAUUGUGGAGAGGUAAGUGGAAUUCCGAGUGUAGAGGUGAAAUUCGUAGAUAUUCGGAAGAACACCAGUGGCGAAGGCGACUUACUGGACACAUAUUGACGCUGAGGUGCGAAAGCGUGGGGAGCAAACAGG